rnacentral:piRNA from 1 species
UAGAACAAAGAGCUCCUGUUCGGUC